UGGAGAUAAGGAGACAUUUUGGAGCAAAAGCUAAGGAAAAGGAAGAUAAGGACGAUUUUGGUUCUGGAAUUAGCGAGGAGUGUCGAUCGACACACUCUUGGUGUCGAUCGACACCAGUUUCGGCCCAGCAAAAACCCUAGACGCUUUCGAGUUUACAAGAGCUCAAGUUUGCCCUAGAAGAUUUCAUUAUUUGCAUUAUUAGUCCGUGGACGUUUUUAGGGUCUAUAUAUAUUGUUUUUAGACCUAAGUUUCUUUUAUCAAGUCUUUUAUCAAGCUUUUGCAAAACCAUGUUACUGAGAGACAUAAGCUAUUCAUCGAUUGUUUUCAGAGUUUCAUUCAGAUCUUAAUACAGUGAAGAGAUCCCUUCUUUCCCCUUCUCUAUUUACUGUGUUUAUGCUUUCACAC
rnacentral:sRNA from 1 species